UUUUUUUUUGAAUACCAGGAGGUUUUGGGUCGAAUCCCGUAAUCCCCCCAAGCCCGAAACCACAGCAUGUAAUAUUAGUUUCGUCCCAAGCGUCAUUCGAAUCGGCGACCUCUAAACUUUGCAUACGGUCUUUACCAAUUGAGCUAACGACACUUAUCACAUUUUUUAGUUUUUUCUUCGUCUAUUUAACAUAAUCUUAGAAAAGUAACUAUGAAAAUCUAAAAUGAAAUGUGUUCCGA
rnacentral:sRNA from 1 species